UGCACUGUGCCAUGGGACAUUUGGCCAUAUUGAAAAGUCAAAUGGAAGUUCACGGUCAGGAGGUGAUGGAAUUGACAUUGAGACCUAGAUACGGAGGUUCGGGCACCAAACAUUUCUUAGUAACAUGGAAGGGAAUUGAGUAAAACUCGAGGGCUUGGUUUAUUUAAUGAGUUCAGGAUGGAAGGAAUAAUACAUGAAGCCAACUCAUUGUUAGCAUGAUCGGACAUCUCAAGUUUACCUCUUCCUUAUGUGACAUUCUAUAUUCAGGGUUCACUUUUGGGUUAAAAGUCAACAGUGACGAAAAAAGUGAAUCUUGCGAGAAGAGGCUGCCUAAUCAAGGAAACUAUGUCUUCUGUGACCAGACCUCAGAAACCAUUGGCCAUAUCUUAGUAUUGCCCAGAAUCUGUCCCCAGGACACCCCCUCUACAUUGUGCAUUCCUGACUUAAUGAAAUUUGGAUGGCUUCCUUGGCCAUCCUGGCCAAAACAAAAAAAAAAAUUGCCCAGAAUCCCUGCAGGUGCAGUGGUUAAUUCGAAGUGCCAUCAACCUGAGUACUGACAGGCUGCUUUUCAAGCAGUCAGAACAAUUUUGAGGGUGGUGGCUCUCUGUGAGAGCGGUAGAUUCUGGAGCUUCUGCAGCUCGUCUUUGAUACUGGGUUCCUGGUGGCUGGGAUGAUUUGGAAGGAAAGAAAUAACAUGAUCUUCGACCAAGUCAACAAGCCCUGGUGCCAACUACCUAAGAAUAUGUAGAGGAAUUGGCAUUGUGGUGGUCGGCAGGAGCAACAAUCCAGGGGUUUAUCUAGUGUUGCUUCUUUUCCCUGGUUGCAAAAGAUUGUGAGAUUUUCAGUUUGGAUUAUCUUGCUCUUUUUUCUUGGUCAAUCUUCAUCAGUUGGUUCUUGUCGCUGAACUCGAGUUCCUUAAUGCACAUAUUUUGCAUGUUCCAUGAAAAAAAAAAAAUUAAUCUGCAGUUCGAAGAUUCAUCAUCUCUGAUUCUCAGCCUACAUAGUAGUGAUAUGCCAACUUUGAUAUGUUACUUAAAAUUAUGUCAAUUAUAUCUGAUUUUUUUCCAUAAACCUCAAGCAACAAUACUCAUAUAUCGUUAAUUAAU